rnacentral:rRNA from 1 species
UGAUGAACGCUAGCGACAGGCUUAACACAUGCAAGUCGAGGGGCAGCACAGGUAGCAAUACCGGGUGGCGACCGGCGCACGGGUGAGUAACGCGUAUGCAACUUGCCUAUCAGAGGGGGAUAACCCGGCGAAAGUCGGACUAAUACCGCAUGAAGCAGGGAUCCCGCAUGGGAAUAUUUGCUAAAGAUUCAUCGCUGAUAGAUAGGCAUGCGUUCCAUUAGGCAGUUGGCGGGGUAACGGCCCACCAAACCGACGAUGGAUAGGGGUUCUGAGAGGAAGGUCCCCCACAUUGGUACUGAGACACGGACCAAACUCCUACGGGAGGCAGCAGUGAGGAAUAUUGGUCAAUGGCCGAGAGGCUGAACCAGCCAAGUCGCGUGAGGGAUGAAGGUUCUAUGGAUCGUAAACCUCUUUUAUAAGGGAAUAAAGUGCGGGACGUGUCCCGUUUUGUAUGUACCUUAUGAAUAAGGAUCGGCUAACUCCGUGCCAGCAGCCGCGGUAAUACGGAGGAUCCGAGCGUUAUCCGGAUUUAUUGGGUUUAAAGGGUGCGUAGGCGGCCCUUUAAGUCAGCGGUGAAAGUCUGUGGCUCAACCAUAGAAUUGCCGUUGAAACUGGGGGGCUUGAGUAUGUUUGAGGCAGGCGGAAUGCGUGGUGUAGCGGUGAAAUGCAUAGAUAUCACGCAGAACCCCGAUUGCGAAGGCAGCCUGCCAAGCCAUUACUGACGCUGAUGCACGAAAGCGUGGGGAUCAAACAGGAUUAGAUACCCUGGUAGUCCACGCAGUAAACGAUGAUCACUAGCUGUUUGCGAUACACUGUAAGCGGCACAGCGAAAGCGUUAAGUGAUCCACCUGGGGAGUACGCCGGCAACGGUGAAACUCAAAGGAAUUGACGGGGGUCCGCACAAGCGGAGGAACAUGUGGUUUAAUUCGAUGAUACGCGAGGAACCUUACCCGGGUUUGAACGCAUUCGGACCGAGGUGGAAACACCUUUUCUAGCAAUAGCCGUUUGCGAGGUGCUGCAUGGUUGUCGUCAGCUCGUGCCGUGAGGUGUCGGCUUAAGUGCCAUAACGAGCGCAACCCUUGCCACUAGUUACUAACAGGUUAGGCUGAGGACUCUGGUGGGACUGCCAGCGUAAGCUGCGAGGAAGGCGGGGAUGACGUCAAAUCAGCACGGCCCUUACAUCCGGGGCGACACACGUGUUACAAUGGCGUGGACAAAGGGAUGCCACCUGGCGACAGGGAGCGAAUCCCCAAACCACGUCUCAGUUCGGAUCGGAGUCUGCAACCCGACUCCGUGAAGCUGGAUUCGCUAGUAAUCGCGCAUCAGCCAUGGCGCGGUGAAUACGUUCCCGGGCCUUGUACACACCGCCCGUCAAGCCAUGGGAGCCGGGGGUACAUGAAGUCCGUAACCGAAAGGAUCGGCCUAGGGUA